rnacentral:rRNA from 1 species
UGCCAGCCGCCGCGGUAAUAUGUAGGGACCUAGCGUAGUUCGGAAUUACUGGGCUUAAAGAGUUCGUAGGUGGUUAAAAAAGUUGGUGGUGAAAUCCCAAGGCUUAACCUUGGAACUGCCACCAAAACUUUUUGACUAGAGUAUGAUAGAGGAAAGUGGAAUUUCUAGUGUAGAGGUGAAAUUCGUAGAUAUUAGAAAGAAUACCAAUUGCGAAGGCAGCUUUCUGGAUCAUUACUGACACUGAGGAACGAAAGCAUGGGUAGCGAAGAGGAUUAGAUA